GAUGAACGCUAGCGGCAGGCUUAACACAUGCAAGUCGAGGGGCAGCAUGACACGGAGAUUCGUCGAAGUGUUGAUGGCGACCGGCGCAAGGGUGCGUAACGCGUGAGCAACUUGCCCGUUUCUGGGGAAUAACCGGUGGAAACGCCGACUAAUACCCCAUAGUAUAACUAAGAGGCAUCUUUUUGUUAUUAAAGAAUUUCGGAAACGGAUAGGCUCGCGUGACAUUAGCUAGAUGGCGGGGUAACGGCCCACCAUGGCUACGAUGUCUAGGGGUUCUGAGAGGAAGGUCCCCCACACUGGAACUGAGACACGGUCCAGACUCCUACGGGAGGCAGCAGUGAGGAAUAUUGGUCAAUGGUCUGACGGCUGAACCAGCCAUGCCGCGUGAAGGUCACGGCCCUAUGGGUCUUAAACUUCUUUUGUAAGGGAGCAAUAAGUCUCACGUGUGGGAUGAUGAGAGUACCUUACGAAUAAGCAUCGGCUAACUCCGUGCCAGCAGCCGCGGUAAUACGGGGGAUGCAAGCGUUAUCCGGAUUUAUUGGGUUUAAAGGGUGCGUAGGCGGCUUGGUAAGUCAGCGGUGAAAUUUAGGGGCUCAACCUCUACCGUGCCGUUGAUACUGCUGGGCUAGAAUGCGGAUGCCGUGUGAGGAAUGUGUGGUGUAGCGGUGAAAUGCAUAGAUAUCACACAGAACACCGAUUGCGAAGGCAUCUCACGAAUCCGCUAUUGACGCUGAGGCACGAAAGCGUGGGGAUCAAACAGGAUUAGAUACCCUGGUAGUCCACGCUGUAAACGAUGAUGACUAACCGUCGGCGAUAUACAGUCGGUGGCCAAGCGAAAGCGAUAAGUCAUCCACCUGGGGAGUACGACCGCAAGGGUUGAAACUCAAAGGAAUUGACGGGGGCCCGCACAAGCGGAGGAACAUGUGGUUUA
rnacentral:rRNA from 1 species